CAGGAGAAUGGCGGGAACCCGGGGGGCGGAGCUUGCAGGGAGCCAAGAUGGCGUAAACUUACGUUUACUCCCGGAAAACUGAGGCCCCAGAAACCCCGCGUAACCGGCCUAACGCACGUAGCUCUGGGAGUCAUGGUGAUUACACUGAAACCCAUCAGCCUGACACUGUGACGCAGGUUGAAAUCUAUUGCCUUGGGUUAGGUCAAUCUGCCCAGAGAGAGAUUUUGCUGUGAGUGGCUUUAUCAACUACUGAGAAUGUGCAAUCAACUGUGGAUUCUUCUGGAGUCUUUUGGGGGCCUUUUAAAGUAAAUCAGACAUUGGAGCACACAGUUCUAAGAAGCAGCCAGUAAAUACACUUUAGACAUUAAACAUUAUCCAACAGGUUCGGUUCGUUUAAGUGUCCAAAUAUACAAGUAAUUGUUUUAACAUA